AGUGAACGCUGGCGGUAGGCCUAACACAUGCAAGUCGAACGGCAGCACAGUAAGAUCUUGCUCUUACGGGGGGCGAGUGGCGGACGUGUGAGGAAUACAUCGUAAUCUACUUUUUCGGGGGGGAUAACGUAAGGAAACUUACUAUAAUACCGCAUACGAUCUACGGGUGAAAGCAUUGGAUCUUCGGACCUGUCGCGAUUGAAUGCGCCGAUGUCGGAGUUGCUAGUUGGCGGGGUGAAUGCCCACCAAGGCGACGAUUCGCAGCUGGUCUGAGAGGAUGAUCAGCGACCCUGGAGCGGGGCCAGGCUCCAGGCUACUACGGGAGGGAGCAGUCGGGAAUGUGGGACAAUGGGCGCAAGCAUUGUACAGCCAGACCGAGUGGGUGAAGAAGGCCUUCGGGUUGUGAAGACCUUUUGUUGGGAAAGAAAAGCAGCAGGUUAAUACCACGCUGUUCUGACGGUACCCAAAGAAUAAGCACCGGCUAACUUCGUG
rnacentral:rRNA from 1 species